UCAGGUCAUCAGACAUGCAAAUCGACUCCAGGGAAACCUGUGCUUAUUGGGCCCCGCUUCUGGAGAAACCCAGACUUGAAUGACCAGCCCAACCACAUUCUCCUCGCCCUUAGAUCCAGAAGCAGCAGUUUUCCUGGACCCUCCAAGAUGCGCUUCCUGGCCCUGCUCGUCUGCCUCCUGGUGCUGGGCUUUCAAGGAAACUCAUCCUCCUGCUGAGAGGAAGACGUUGCAGCCUCCUCAGCCUCCAUGGUGUUGAUGGUGACAGUGAAAUGAGUUCCAGAUCCAGGGAGAUGGAACCAGGUUGGGACCCCAAGACCAGGGUGGAAGCCCUUAACAUCCUUACCAUGUCUUGUGAGAUAUUUAUUUACUGCCCUUCACAAAUUGAGUUUAAAAUAUUUGCAUUUUAUUUUCCGCCAACUGUUCUGCUGUCAGACAGCAUUUUUUAUCAUGGGGGAGAGAGAGCAAUUAGUCCCUCCUGAACAUCUGGUCAGUGGUUAGUCUGAUGAGAGGAGUUUUGUUAAGAGAAUAUUAGUGCUUCAGUUGUCCUGAUUUAACAUGGAUUCUCUUCCCUUGGGGAGUGAAUACAGGUUUUACUCAGGCCUUCACAACAGUGUGGAAUCCAGAAGUGUUGGUAUUAAUGCCACUGUGGUGUUUUUUAUGAUUUUGUUUUCACACUUUGUGUUUUUGUUUUACUCAUAUUUUAAUAUAGUUUAUUUUAUUUGUCUUAAAUUUUCCUUUAAAGAUAAUCACGAAGAAAAUGAUAUAUGCAUACUUUAAUUUUAUUAAGCCUACAUGAAUCUACAAUUCUGUAUUUCCAAAGUCAAGAAAAAAUUGGUGAUUAAUUUUCACCAUAUACUUAAUUAGCGUAACAGCAAAACUGCUCCUUUUAUUGUCUUCACCCUGACUCUGCUUUAUGUUUUUGCAUAAGGAAUGUUAUCAUUCUUAUUUAGAUUUUUUAGAUUAUAAUUAUGUGGUAUCAUAUUACAUACCUUAUAUUUCAAGAAUUAUUCCUAUACAGUGACUUGCAUUUGUAAGUGAAUUUUCAACUGACUUAGAUUCUUGGUUUAAUCAUUUCUACUAAUCAAGCAAGAUUCCUUCCAGCAAGAUUGUUUUGUUUUGUUUUGUUUGUUACAUUUCCUGGUUUGUUAUAAAGCAUGCAACUCAGGAAGUGCCUAACUGAAGAGAUGCAUAUGGCAAGAUGACGGGGUAGGUUGAGACGGGGUGAGAUGGUGCAAAGCUUCCAUGUCCUCUCUAGGCAGCCACCUGCCAGCACUUCAAUGUGUUUACCAAACCCAAAGGUUUUACUAACAGCCUUUUAUUUUUAUUUUUUUAUUUAUUAUUUUUAUUUUUAUUCUUGAGAUGGAGUCUUGCUCUGUCUCCCAGGCUGGAGCACAGUGGCACCAUCUUGGCUCACUGCAACCUUGACCUCCUGGGUUCAAACGAUUCUCCUGCCUCAGCCUCCUAAGUAGCUGGGACUACAGGCACCCACCACCAAGACCGGCUAAUUUUUGUAUUUUUAGUAGAGACGGGAUUUCACCAUGUUGGCCAGGCUGGUCUCAAACUCCUGGCCUCAAGUGAUGCACCUGCCUUGGCCUCCCAAAGUGCUGGGAUUACAGGUGUGAGCCACUGCUCCCAGCCACCAACAGCCUUUUAAAAUCACAAGGCACAGCUUCCUUUACUGGAGCAUGCUGCUUAAACUCUUGAUGAAUCAAAAUAAAUCUUUCAAGAUUUUCUAUUUUUUUACAUGGUCAUGAAAUUUAUGUUGGUGUGUAUUUUCAAAAUUGCACAUUUCCUUCAUAUUUGAUCAUUUCCUUAGUUCGCAAGCAUGGGCAUAAUGACUUUUUGUGGUUAUGUAGCUAUCACUACAUUGUUCUCUGGGAACAGAGUUUGUAAACUACAUUGCUGAAGCAAGCCUGAUUUUUAUCUCUGAAGAAAGAACCUCCCUUAGAUUUUGGUUUUUUAUUGGAUCCUGAUUUUUUAACAUGUAAAAAUCACCUGUGUGUUUGCUACCUAAUUUUGCCUAGAUUUCCGAGUCUGUUAAAUUUGCACUCAUGAAUAUAUAACAGAGGCAUAAAUAUUUUAAAUUAUGUUUCUCUUUAUCACCCCUGUUCUAAUGACUAGUAUAUAGGGAAAUAUUUCCUUAUUGGGCUUGACUUUCAAUCCUGUUUUUCUGUCUGUUUCACUCUUUCUUUUCUUUAUUUAAUCUCAUAUACCUCUACUUCAUGAACUGAGACUGUUCUUCCAACUUUUAUAUUACUUAUUUGCUCAUUGGCAGGGCCAGUUCUGGUUGCUAUGGUCCCGCCCCUUAGUUGCUUUUUUAAACAAGUACAUUUAGAUUUUUAUUUUCUCAUGUAUCAGCAGUGUUGAUAGAUUACCUUUUCACUCGUUACAUCUGAGUGAAAUGAGUAUGAAGAAAUAUGUUCGUUCCAUUUUCAUCCGGGUCCUGAUAUUUUUUCUUCAUUCUAUUGAUUACAUAAAAUAUUUUGUAGAAAUUUUCUUUGAAAAUUGGCAGGGUAUUUAAUUUUGUUUUUUUCUCUCUAAUCUUUUAAAAAUCAAGCAAUUACAUUUGUUUAUUUCAAUUAAUAAUACUCAACAAUGAUAAUCUGUUAAUUAUAACGUCUUGAUCAUGACGCAGUUUCAUCUAUGGCUAUUUGUUGUUUAUUUAUUCGAAACUCAGUCAUUCAUUUGGUGAUUAGUAGCAAUGUGAUAAGCUCCUGUGACUCUAACUCACAAAAUGCAAGUUGGGGCAAUAACUUAUAUCUCAUUUGAGGUUAUCCACAAUCGCACAUUCCUAUCUCCUAAUGCAGUUUAUUUCUUUUAUAUGUAUGUAUCAAAUAACAUUUUGUCAUUUAUUUCUUUAAAGCUACAAAAAUAUGUUAAUGCAAACUAAUUUAUUAGUCUUUUCUUUCAUGCUUAGUGCUUUGCAUAUUCUCUUCAAGAAAUCUUUCCUACAUGCAUAUUCAUGAAAUAUCUUUUUAUACUAUUUUCUAAAAGCUUUCUUCUUUUGCCUUUCACAUUUCAGUUUCUAAUUUAGAGUUGAUAUUUGUAUCAGUGUAGAAGUAAAAUGAAGAGGUUAAGAUUUAUUUUGAUGUAAUAUGGAUAUCUAAUUGAUCCAAUAUAAUUCAGUUAUUAGAAUUUUUUUCUACUACAUCACUGCUAUGGCCUGAAUGUCUGCGUCACCUCCAAAGUUCCUGUUAAAACUGAAUCUCAAGGCAACAGUAUUAGAAAGUAGACCCUUUGGGAGGUGAUUAGGUCAUGAGGGCUCAGCACUGGUGAGUGAGAUUCCUGUCUAAUAAGGUGGCUUUACACAGACUUGCCACUUUUGCCUUUCCACCUCCAACAUGUGACAACACAGCCACAGGGUGCAAUCUUGGAAGCAGGAACAGUCCUCACCAGACACUGAGAUUGCCAGCAUGUUGACCUUGGAAUUCACAGCCUUUAUAACCAUGAAAAAAAUAAAUUUAUGUUGUUUGUAAUUA